UGAAAUCAUUAUGAACAUCACACAGAUACUAGUCGGCCUACUAUUGAACAAAUCUGUACAUGCAAUUACCUUAGGAAUCUCAUCUCUACAAAUUUCCUCGACAGUUCUUCUUCUCUUGACGGGUGCUUUACUUUCAGGACUGUGGGAUCCCUUUUUCUUUGACCCACUUUCUUUUUUGUUCUCUUUCUUAGCAAGCUUUUGACAUAAUUUAUUCAUAGUUUGGGGAUCAUUUCUAUGCUUUAACCUAUUUUCAUGAAAAUCAUCAAUUUCAAAUUCAAAAUCUCCCAAAAUGAAAUUUACAACUUCUUGACCUUCUUUGAUACUUUGUAAUUGAGAAACCUCAAAACUAAAAGAAGGUCCAAAAUGUCUAUUCAUGCUCAUAAUUCAAACAAUGAAGCAUAAAAAUAGUGAAACUGAAUAAAUCUCUCUACCAAAACACUAAAAUUUCAGAUAGGUUUACUCGCAUCAAAAAAAAAAUUGAAAAAUAAAAGGUCAAAAAAGGUAUUAAUUAAAUUGAAGCUGAUCUUAUGGGUGGGUGGAGGGGGGGAUUACCUUGACUGAAUUCUUCGAAUUAGAUGGAAUUACAAUUGUCAGAUUUUGCUCCAAAUUUUGCGCUGCUGAUAGAGGAUUUGUGUAGUACUUUUGGUUAAAAGGGGAAUAAAAAGAGGCUAUUCAGAUGAAGGUUAUCUUGUAUCUCAACAUUAGGAAAAUUUG
rnacentral:lncRNA from 1 species